GACGAACGCUGGCGGCGUGCUUAACACAUGCAAGUCGAACGGAGAGGCCUUUUCGGAGGUACUCGAGUGGCGAACGGGUGAGUAACACGUGGGUGAUCUGCCCUGCACUCUGGGAUAAGCCUGGGAAACUGGGUCUAAUACCGGAUAGGACCGCACUUUAGUGUGUGUGGUGGAAAGUUUUUUCGGUGUAGGAUGAGCCCGCGGCCUAUCAGCUUGUUGGUGGGGUAAUGGCCUACCAAGGCGGCGACGGGUAGCCGGACUGAGAGGUUGGUCGGCCACAUUGGGACUGAGAGACGGCCCAGACUCCUACGGGAGGCAGCAGUGGGGAAGAUUGCACAAUGGGCGCAAGCCUGAUGCAGCGACGCCGCGUGGGGGAUGACGGCCUUCGGGUUGUAAACUCCUUUCGCCAGGGACGAAGCGUUUUGUGACGGUACCUGGAGAAGAAGCACCGGCUAACUACGUG
rnacentral:rRNA from 1 species